AACGAACGCUGGCGGCAGGCUUAACACAUGCAAGUUGAACGGUAUGUAAUUUGUGCUUGCACGGAUUGCAGAGAGUAGCGCACUGGUGAGUAACACGUGGAAACAUACCCUUAAGUAAGGAACAACAGUUGGAAACGACUGCUAAUACCAUAUACGCCCUGAGGGGGAAAGAUUUAUCGCUUAAGGAUUGGUCCGCGGCAGAUUAGGUAGUAGGUGGGGUAAAGGCCUACCUAGCCGACGAUCUGUAGCUGGUUUGAGAGGACGAUCAGCCACAUUGGAACUGAGACACGGUCCAGACUCCUACGGGAGGCAGCAGUGAGGAAUAUUGGGCAAUGGAGGAAACUCUGACCCAGCCAUGCCGCGUGAGUGAAGAAGGUUUCGGAUUGUAAAGCUCUUUCGGAUGGGACGAUGAUGACGGUACCAUUUAAAGAAGCCCCGGCAAACUUCGUG
rnacentral:rRNA from 1 species